AACGAACGCUGGCGGCAUGCCUAACACAUGCAAGUCGAACGAGACCUUCGGGUCUAGUGGCGCACGGGUGCGUAACGCGUGGGAACCUGCCUUUAGGUUCGGAAUAAACUCAGAGAAAUUUGAGCUAAUACCGGAUAAUGUCUUCGGACCAAAGAUUUAUCGCCUUUAGAUGGGCCCGCGUUGGAUUAGCUAGUUGGUGGGGUAAAGGCCUACCAAGGCGACGAUCCAUAGCUGGUCUGAGAGGAUGAUCAGCCACACUGGGACUGAGACACGGCCCAGACUCCUACGGGAGGCAGCAGUGGG
rnacentral:rRNA from 1 species